rnacentral:rRNA from 1 species
CCUACGGGUGGCAGCAGUGGGGAAUAUUGCACAAUGGGGGAAACCCUGAUGCAGCGACGCCGCGUGAGUGAAGAAGUAUUUCGGUACGUAAAGCUCUAUCAGAAGGGAAGAAAAUGACGGUACCUGACUAAGAAGCCACGGAUAACUACGUGCCAGCAGCCGCGGUAAUACGUAGGGGGCAAGCGUUAUCCGGAUUUACUGGGUGUAAAGGGAGCGUAGACGGCAGCGAAAGUCUGGAGUGAAAUCCCAUGGCUUAACCAUGGAACUGCUUUGGAAACUGUGCAGCUAGAGUGCAGGAGAGGUAAGCGGAAUUCCUAGUGUAGCGGUGAAAUGCGUAGAUAUUAGGAGGAACACCAGUGGCGAAGGCGGCUUACUGGACUGUAACUGACGUUGAGGCUCGAAAGCGUGGGGAGCAAACAGGAUUAGAUACCCGGGUAGUC